CACACCUAUAUACAUUUUAUGUAUUUGUGUGUGUGUGUGUGUGUGUGUGUAUAUAUAUAUAUAUACACACACAUACUAUAUACAUAUAUAUAUCAUAUAUA
rnacentral:miRNA from 14 species